CUAGUUGGUAGGGUAAUGGCCUACCAAGGCUUCGAUCCGUAGCUGGUCUGAGAGGAUGAUCAGCCACACUGGGACUGAGACACGGCCCAGACUCCUACGGGAGGCAGCAGUGGGGAAUAUUGGACAAUGGGCGGAAGCCUGAUCCAGCAAUGCCGCGUGUGUGAAGAAGGCCUGCGGGUUGUAAAGCACUUUCAGUUGGGAGGAAAAAGUGAAGGAUAAUACCCUUCAAAAUUGACAUUACUAACAGAAGAAGCACCGGCUAACUCUGUGCCAGCAGCCGCGGUAAUACAGAGGGUGCAAGCGUUAAUUGGAAUUACUGGGCGUAAAGCGCACGUAGGUGGUUUGACAAGUUGGGUGUGAAAUCCCCGGGCUUAACCUGGGAACUGCAUUCAAAACUAUCAAGCUAGAGUAGAGUAGAGGGAAGUGGAAUUUCCGGUGUAGCGGUGAAAUGCGUAGAUAUCGGAAGGAACACCAGUGGCGAAGGCGGCUUCCUGGACUCAUACUGACACUGAGGUGCGAAAGCGUGGGGAGCAUACAGGAUUAGAUACCCUGGUAGUCCACGCCGUAAACGAUGAGAACUAGAUGUUGGAGAGAUUUAACUCUCUAGUAUCGAAGCUAACGCGUUAAGUUCUCCGCCUGGGGAGUACGGCCGCAAGGUUAAAACUCAAAGAAAUUGACGGGGGCCCGCACAAGCGGUGGAGCAUGUGGUUUAAUUCGAUGCAACGCGAAGAACCUUACCUACCUUUGACAUACUUGGAAUCCUGCAGAAAUGCGGGAGUGCCUUCGGGAACCAAGAUACAGGUGCUGCAUGGCUGUCGUCAGCUCGUGUCGUGAGAUGUUGGGUUAAGUCCCGUAACGAGCGCAACCCUCGUCCCUAGUUGCUAACAGGUAAAGCUGAGAACUUUAGGGAGACUGCCGGUGACAAACCGGAGGAAGGUGAGGUUGACGUCAAGUCCUCAUGGCCUUUAUAGGUAGGGCCACACACGUGCUACAAUGGAAAGUACAAUGGGUAGCCAACCCGCAAGGGGGAGCCAAUCUCUAAAAACUUUUCGUAGUCCGGAUUGGAGUCUGAAACUCGACUCCAUGAAGUUGGAAUCGCUAGUAAUCGCGAAUCAGAACGUCGCGGUGAAUACGUUCACGGGCCUUGUACACACCGCCCGUCACACCAUGGGAGUGGGUUGUACCAGAAGCAGGUAGACUAACCUUCGGGAGGUCGCCUACCACGGUAUGAUUCAUGACUGGGGUGAAGUCGGAACAAGGUA
rnacentral:rRNA from 1 species